AAAAGAUAAAUCUUAUUCUAUCUGUUCUUCAUGAGUUUUAGAUAAUUUUAGUUGUAUUUCUUUGUAAUUUUGUGUUGUACAAAGAUUAAUUUAACAUUUUCUCUGGAAGCAUUAAUUUAGAAAGAUAAUAUGCUUCAUUGGUGUUGUGCUUUGAAGUGUGAAAUGCAAAGUAAUUGUGAUAGUUAAAUGCAAGAUAAAGUUCACUUUUAAACUGAACUAAAUAAGGUAUCUGAGAGACAACAAUGGUUAAAUGCAAUACAAUGUACAGGUUUUACUAGCGAAAUGAAAAUUUUCCUGUCCUGUCUGCUGUAAUCAUUUUAUAUCUGGAAAACCAGCCGACUUAAUCGAUAAUAACAAUCUCCAGAUUGCGUUCCUUCAAUAAAUAUGGGCUAUAAACACAAUGAAAUAAGUUCCCCAAAAUCUAAAAUGGAGUGCUAUCAAAGGAGAAUUAAAGGAAAAAA
rnacentral:lncRNA from 1 species